UACGUAGGGUGCGAGCGUUAAUCGGAAUUACUGGGCGUAAAGCGUGCGCAGGCGGUUUUGUAAGUCUGUCGUGAAAGCCCCCGGGCUUAACCUGGGAAUUGCGAUGGAGACUGCAAGGCUUGAAUCUGGCAGAGGGGGGGUAGAAUUCCACGUGUAGCAGUGAAAUGCGUAGAGAUGUGGAGGAACACCGAUGGCGAAGGCAGCCCCCUGGGUCAAGAUUGACGCUCAUGCACGAAAGCGUGGGGAGCAAACAGG
rnacentral:rRNA from 1 species